UACGGAGGGUGCAAGCGUUGUGCGGAAUUACUGGGCGUAAAGCGGGUGUAGGCGGCCGCACAAGUCAGAUGUGAAAGCCCUGGGCCUAACCCAGGAACUGCAUUUGAUACUGCGUGGCUCGAGUCCCGGAGAGGAGGGCGGAAUUCCAGGUGUAGAGGUGAAAUUCGUAGAUAUCUGGAGGAACACCAGCGGCGAAGGCGGCCAUCUGGACUGUGACUGACGCUCAGACCCGAAAGCGUGGGUAGCAAACAGG
rnacentral:rRNA from 1 species